AACGAACGCUGGCGGCGUGCCUAACACAUGCAAGUCGUGCGAGAAAGUUCCUUCGGGAGCGAGUAAAGCGGCGCACGGGUGAGUAACACGUAGGUAACCUGCCCCCCAGUCUGGAACAACUAGAGGAAACUCUAGCUAAUGCCGGAUGAGACCACGAUCCCUUCGGGGGUUGCGGCCAAAGAUGGCCUCUACUUGUAAGCUAUCGCUGAGGGAUGGGCCUGCGGGCCAUUAGCUUGUUGGUGAGGUAACGGCUCACCAAGGCUGUGAUGGCUAGCUGGUCUGAGAGGAUGACCAGCCACACUGGGACUGAGACACGGUCCAGACUCCUACGGGAGGCAGCAGUGGGGAAUAUUGCGCAAUGGGCGAAAGCCUGACGCAGCGACGCCGCGUGGGUGAUGAAGGCCU
rnacentral:rRNA from 1 species